GUAAUUCCUGGCAUAUUUGCAUGUGGCGUAUUUGUGAUAUGUUUCAUCACUUGACUGGAUGAAAGUUAAUUACCUAAUUAACUACCCCAAUAACCCUCAAGUGAUUGUGCAUGGCAACGCUAACAAGAUAUGGAGCUCAAACUACAACGGCGCUUUCCCUUUGAAAAUCAUCGUGCAUGGAUGGAACACCGACGGAGGUGCCUGAAAUAACGUGCACUUGGUCGGGUUUAUUUUAGGAGCUCAUAUUUUUGGAACUGCUGGACUGCUGGACACAUGGCACGGAGAUGGCCGACAAGAGUUAUAGGUCUGGAUCCAGCUGACCUGGCUGGCGCGGCAAUGGCAACGCAUUGAACAAUCGCGAUGGCGUUUAUGUGGAAACGAUCCAUACUUGAGGGCGACCUUCUUGAUCUAACGGUGGAAAAAAAACCCUCAGCCUGGUUGGAUCAGCACCUGUUCCCAUUUACGGGCCACUGAACACUUUGCUGCUACCGUGUACCACAACCACCUGGUUGGAAAGCAAUUUCCAAAUGUCUGGGAAGCCGAAUUAAGCACAUCCUUUGAAGCUUCAUUUCACAUGGACAAUGGA